rnacentral:rRNA from 1 species
AGGGUUUGAUCAUGGCUCAGAUUGAACGCUGGCGGAAUGCUUUACACAUGCAAGUCGAACGGCAGCACGGAGAGCUUGCUCUCUGGUGGCGAGUGGCGAACGGGUGAGUAAUAUAUCGGAACGUGUCCAAUAAUGGGGGAUAACGAGUCGAAAGAUUCGCUAAUACCGCAUACGCCCUACGGGGGAAAGCAGGGGAUCGUAAGACCUUGCGUUAAUGGAGCGGCCGAUAUCUGAUUAGCUUGUUGGUGAGGUAAAGGCUCACCAAGGCGACGAUCAGUAGCUGGUUUGAGAGAACGACCAGCCACACUGGAACUGAGACACGGUCCAGACUCCUACGGGAGGCAGCAGUGGGGAAUUUUGGACAAUGGGGGCAACCCUGAUCCAGCCAUUCCGCGUGAGUGAAGAAGGCCUUCGGGUUGUAAAGCUCUUUCGCAAGGGAAGAAAACUUAUGAUCGAAUAAAUCAUGAGGUUGACGGUACCUUGAUAAGAAGCACCGGCUAACUACGUGCCAGCAGCCGCGGUAAUAC